AGCAGAGAGGGUAGAGAGUGGUGGAAUUUGAUGUUGUCUCUGCCACUAUUGGACAGGGCUACGCUGUUCUAGCCGCCUGCCCUGAGC
rnacentral:miRNA from 1 species